UACGUAUGGAGCAAGCGUUAUCCGGAUUUACUGGGUGUAAAGGGAGUGUAGGUGGCCAGGCAAGUCAGAAGUGAAAGCCCGGGGCUCAACCCCGGGACUGCUUUUGAAACUGCAGGGCUAGAGUGCAGGAGGGGCAAGUGGAAUUCCUAGUGUAGCGGUGAAAUGCGUAGAUAUUAGGAGGAACACCAGUGGCGAAGGCGACUUGCUGGACUGUAACUGACACUGAGGCUCGAAAGCGUGGGGAGCAAACAGG
rnacentral:rRNA from 1 species